GCCUUUGAGGUGUAGUGGUCAGCACGCUUGACACGUAUUUCCAGAGGUCAGUGGUUCGAUUCCCGGCAAGGGCG
rnacentral:tRNA from 1 species